AUUGAACGCUGGCGGCAGGCCUAACACAUGCAAGUCGAGCGAUCGGCGGACGGGUGAGUAAUGUAUGGGGACUGCCCGAUAUAGGGGGAUAACUACUGGAAACGGUAGCUAAUACCGCAUACUAUCGGAUAACCCAUAUGGGAUUAGCUAGUAGGUGGGGUAAUGGCUCACCUAGGCGACGAUCCCUAGCUUGUAUGAGAGGAUGAUCAGACACACUGGGACUGAGACACGGCCCAGACUCCUACGGAGGCAGCAGGGGGGAAUAUUGCACAAUGGGCGCAAGCCUGAUGCAGCCAUGCCGCGUGUAUGAAGAAGGCCCUAGGGUUGUAAAGUACUUCCAGUCGGGAGGCGUUACCGACAGAAGAAGCACCGGCUAACUCCGUGCCAGCAGCCGCGGUAAUUC
rnacentral:rRNA from 1 species